rnacentral:rRNA from 1 species
UACGGAGGGUGCGAGCGUUGUCCGGAAUCACUGGGCGUAAAGGGCGCGUAGGCGGCUGGGGAAGUCGGCGGUGAAAGCCCGGAGCUCAACUCCGGGUCGGCCGUCGAGACUCCUCGGCUCGAGCUCACUAGAGGCAGAUGGAAUUCCGGGUGUAGCGGUGGAAUGCGUAGAGAUCCGGAAGAACACCGGUGGCGAAGGCGGUCUGCUGGGGUGAGGCUGACGCUGAUGCGCGAAAGCGUGGGGAGCAAACAGG